GAACCAAUUAGGUUGCUUUCCUCCAUGAAAUACCAGACAUGAACAUUAACAUUAAACCAUCUAUUUAGAAUCACUAAUGGGCAAAACACAAAGCUAUCUCCUUAUUCCCUACUAAAUGAGAGUCAUAUAGAAAGAAAUUGUACAUUGUUUCUCUUUUCUAGUUGUCAGCAUUGAUGCUGUGUUUGAGUGGGAGGAAAGAAACCAGGUGUGAAGGGUACCUAUUGAUAAAAUUAAACAAUAACUAUACAUCUUACUUUAUUUUUCAUAUUUCAAGAAAAGAAAAGCAGUAAAUAUGUAGAAUGACUAUCAGAAUAAGGAUGACUUCUGUAAAUAUAAGCAGAAUAAUGAGUGAACUGUCUCACUUAGAAGAUUUAUGUCAGAUAAUAUUUAAAAAAAAAACUAUUUGAUCAGCAAGAAGAGUACAUGUUUGCCUACCAGCAAAUUCUUGAAUAGAAGGAAUAUGAUUAGAUAUUCAGUGUAGUUCAACUUAGAUUAUUGAAAGGAUACUCAUAAAAAGAAUGUUAGCAUGCUUCUAGUGUUCAUUCAGUAAGGAGUGUGAGUGCCAGAAGAGGAUCUUCUCUGGUUCUCACCUUUACUUCUCCCCACACUGAGCCAAGCACAAACCACUUUCCCCAUCUCUCUCAAAAUAACCACAAAUACUUUUAGUAGGAGAAAAAAGUAAUAGAAUAAUAUUAGUUACUUAUUAAGAACUCAACUCUGGGGCUAAGGAGAAUUCUAUGCAAGGAUGAGAAACAGUUCAGACAGGUCUCCGGAGACCACAUAAAGGCCAGGCAAGCAAGGGCAACAGAGGUGGGGCCAGGAAGUUUUGGUGAAGGUGCUCUAUCCAGGCAAGUCAGAGCAGCGAGUGCAGGAACAGUAAGUAACCUUGCCUCAAUGAUGAGGUAGAGAGGCACCAAGGAAGUCACCUGACAUAGCCUCAGAUCUCUCCACAUUUGCACAGUUCCCUAAAUAUAUGUGAACACACAUGCAUGGACAGUGUGCAUGCACAUACACAUUAAAAAAUCUAAUUCAAAUAAACUCCAAUCCAAGAGGUUGUUAGAAUAACUAACCUCUUUUUGAGAUAAGUAGGGUUUCAUGAUAAACUGAGCCUGAACAUAGUAUCAGUUCCUUUCCUGAUCAAAUAAAUGUUUCAUAUGGUUCUUAAUUUGUUAUUUUCUCUAGCUUAGUGUGUUCAAAAGUAAUCUUUAAGAAAAAUGUCCUUCCUUCAAAUUUAAGAAAAUAUUUCUUUGGUAAAAUUGUUAUUCAUUCAAAGCAUUUCAACUUUCAACAUAAUUGUUGCUUUUGUUGAAAGUCUACCAUUUGGAAAAGGUGAGAUGUGGUACAUGCUUUUAUCUAAACUUUUAUGUGGAGUUCAAUAAUGAAAAAUGCCACUAGCCACUUUUGUAAUAAUACCAAGCAAUAAAACUCUCCAGUAUGAGUUUAUACCAAAAGUUUAACAUGAAGGCCCUAAGCUACAGCAUAUAGAGAAUCAACUUCUGAGAAGUGAUAUGAUAGUCCAAAUUGCUGAGCACAGGGGAAAGAAGGAAGGCAUCGUUCCAUGGCUUCAGGCAUAUCAACUGUGUUUAAUUUCUUUUUUUUUUAGAUUUAUUUAUUUUAUGUAUAUGAGUACACUGUCACUAUCUUUAGACACACCCGAAGAAGGCAUCAGAUCCCAUUGCAGAUGGUUGUGAACCACCAUGCGGUUGCUGGGAAUUGAACUCAGGACCUCUUAAUUGCUGAGCCAUCACUCUAGCCUUGUGUUUAAUUUCUACAAAGGCUAUGUAUAAUGAAGCAGUUUGUUUGCUCUGCUCUGUUUUAUCAGCUGUGUUGUACAUUUCUGUGAAUUGAAUUCAACAUAAAGGUUGCCAUACUGUCUUCACUGGAUUACCUACACCAUUUUUUAAAUAUAGGAAUUAACCUUGUAAAUGUUCCCUGCUGAAUUUUCUAAACAAGAGUAUAUGUUGCCAUCAGAACUGUUUAACUAUAAUUCCAUGGUACUUCAGGGUUGUUGAAGAGCCACUGAUGCCUUCUAAAAUCCUCUACUCAAAAAUACUUCUGGAGUUCAUGAUUCUGUUUUUUGGGGUAUUUGGGGAGAUUGAUUGUUUUCCUCCUUUUGGUUGAGGUGGAAGGGUUUUCCCUCCUUCAGUUAUUUUCAGAUAUCAUUUGUUUAUUUCUAAAGCUUUAACUUAUUCAGAGUGUAUUGUCUGAAAUGGAUUCUUAAUCCUCAUAUCUGUCAGUGUGUUGUCAUGGCAAAUGAGCAUGAAUAAGAGUAAAUCAAUUCCCAGAAAGCACAGGUCUUAUUUAUCUCUGUUGUUUUAAGAGUAGAAGGUAACUUAGCUUUCCUACAUCACAUGAUAAGCACAUGGUAUGUAUAAUCUAAAAUUUGAAAGACAGAACAAUCUUAGUGUUUUAUUUAAUGUUGUGAUCUUCAAGAAUGUAUGAAUAUAAGAACUGAGGCUAAAGAGUUCCUCUUAUUAGAGUUACAUUCACAUUUGUAGUGGAUCCUGUCACUUUUUCAUUCUAAGUUUAAUUAGAAUCAAGUUUUUUAUUUUCAUAUAACUAUCAAACUAUAGGUUCCCUAGAUUUUAAAAGAAAAGCAUUAGACUACUAGAUCUAUCUAAAUACUCUCUGUGACUUUAUAUGUAUAAAUGUACAAAUUAUAAAUCUUCAAUUCUCACC
rnacentral:lncRNA from 1 species